rfam:Helianthus annuus linkage group 5, whole genome shotgun sequence.
GCCAGUGAUGACAGUUUAUAAAAUGGUUGACUGAAAAGCAAGUUUUUAAGCUUGCAAAGUUGCUGAAAAUCAUGAACUAGGACGGUCUGAGGC